rnacentral:tRNA from 1 species
GGGGCCAUAGCUCAGAUGGGAGAGCGACGCGUUUGCAACGCGUAGGUCGUCGGUUCGAUCCCGACUGGCUCCACCA